rnacentral:tRNA from 1 species
GAGCGUCAGCCAUGGCCUUCCUAUCCACAUCUGUGCUCAUUAAAUGCUGCAUCCUCCUGUUGGCAGGAGGAUUGGCUGAGAGCCUUACUCUAGGUUUGGCACCUGCUCUGUCUACCCACUCUUCUGGAGUGUCAACACAGUCUGUUGAUUUGUCACAAAUUAAAAGAGGCGAUGAGAUCCAAGCCCACUGUCUGACACCAGCAGAAACUGAAGUGACUGAGUGUGCUGGCAUUCUGAAAGAUGUUCUGUCAAAAAACCUUCAUGAGCUUCAAGGGCUCUGUAAUGUUAAGAACAAAAUGGGUGUACCAUGGGUUUCUGUGGAAGAGCUGGGUCAAGAGAUUAUAACAGGCAGAUUGCCAUUCCCCUCUGUGGGUGGCACACCAGUGAAUGACCUGGUACGAGUUUUGGUGGUGGCAGAAUCAAACACCCCAGAAGAGACUCCAGAGGAGGAGUUUUAUGCCUAUGUGGAACUUCAGACUGAGUUGUACACCUUUGGUCUGUCUGAUGACAAUGUGGUUUUCACUAGCGAUUAUAUGACUGUGUGGAUGAUUGACAUUCCCAAAUCUUAUGUGGAUGUGGGCAUGCUCACACGAGCAACUUUCCUGGAGCAGUGGCCGGGUGCCAAAGUGACUGUCAUGAUUCCCUACUCCUCCACCUUUACCUGGUGUGGAGAGCUUGGCGCCAUCUCUGAAGAAUCUGCCCCACAACCAAGUUUGAGUGCCAGAUCCCCGGUCUGUAAGAACAGUGCCAGAUAUUCUACCUCAAAAUUUUGCGAGGUAGAUGGAUGCACAGCUGAAACUGGCAUGGAAAAGAUGUCUCUGCUCACUCCAUUUGGAGGCCCACCUCAACAGGCUAAGAUGAACACUUGCCCAUGCUACUACAAGUACAGCGUGAGCCCACUGCCUGCCAUGGACCACUUGAUCCUAGCUGACCUAGCUGGCCUGGAUUCUCUCACUUCACCUGUUUAUGUGAUGGCAGCAUAUUUUGAUUCUACACAUGAAAAUCCUGUGAGACCAUCCAGCAAGCUUUAUCAUUGUGCUCUACAGAUGACAAGUCAUGAUGGGGUGUGGACUUCAACUUCCAGUGAGCAGUGUCCCAUUAGACUGGUUGAGGGCCAGUCUCAAAAUGUGCUGCAGGUCCGGGUGGCUCCGACAUCGAUGCCUAACCUGGUUGGGGUCAGCUUGAUGUUGGAGGGGCAACAGUACAGGCUGGAGUAUUUUGGGGAUCAUUGAUACUCAGUAACUUAAGAGGAAAUUUUUUUGUUAAAAAUAAAGUUAUUUUUAAAAAAGAUACGAGUCAGGUGGUUUUGACCCAUCUCCCCCUCCCCUCGGGUACCAUGAGGUCUGCACCACGCUUGACUAGCAGAAGAGACUUUCAGCUUUCGGGAAGGGUUUAGGCACUUCCCCUCUCAAGCUGCUUCCUUAGCCAGUCUCUUCUGGGUGAAGCGGUGUUACAGACUCUCACGCACAGGGUGGUAUGUAUUCUGGGCCUAAGAGGGAAUGGUGGGUGAAAAUUUUGCCAAAACUGAUUCAGGGCGGACAAAUCUUGGGUGGGAAUGUUUUCCUGAGUGGGAUAUGUCUUCUCGACCGGGGGUGGCGUAUCGGCUGCUUGCAAAGAUUUCUCUGCAGAAAGACAUGUGGUGAUCACUAGGAAAGUGUCCUAAAUUCUGAGGCCAAUGGAAAGGUGAGCAUGUCUUGGGUGGCAAAAAAGGUCCAGGCAAAUGUGAGAAGUUACCUAUCUAUCCAACAUUUGCCGGGAACCUCAAUUAUAAAGGAGAGACCCGGAAGGUGGGUUAGAGGGUCUAAACACUCCGGCCACGCGGGUAGCUAGUCACCAGAGCUCGGAUUUGAACCGAGAACCAACAGGAUGGGCAGCCUGGUGCUCUACCAGGUGAGCCACUCUGGUGCGCGUGGGGAAGAAGACUCGAGCUCCUCAAGAGUCCAGCUUAGUUUUGCAUACAGGCGCGCCAGCCUUGCUAGCAGAGCCGGCGCUAGCACACGCCGGAAGUCACGGUCUUUUUUUAUAAAGAAGAGACCGCCGCGAGACAGACUUCCCGGCCACGCAGGGCCGGCAAGGACUAGGUGAAAUCCUGGGGACUUCUAGAGAGUCUCACCACGUGAUGGCCCCAAAACGUUCUGCACGCUGUAGCACAGCAAUUUCAGUGUCCCACAGCAUCCAGAACGGGGCGCUGACUGCUGCAGAACUGCCAAGUCUGCAGAGUCCCACCACACAGUUUGUGUGGAAUCGCGCGUUAUAGCUGGCCAGGACUCGGACUUGAACCGAGAUCCACAGACUAGACCACGUAGGUGGUGUCUGCCGCUCUACCAAUUGAGCUACCCUGGCCAAAGGCCCCAGAGAAAGCCUUUUAUAGAAGGGACUGUGAGCAGGGAAAGUCCUGUGCUGGUCAGAGUGCAGCAGGUUAAAGAUGGGUAGGUGGAGCUGCAGGUGCAGUAAAAACUGGACCUAGCAAUAUAUCAAGAGUGUUUAGGGAAAACAGGAAGUAUGGAUCGACUAAAGAGGUGUCCUUUUGAAAACAUGAGUUAUGGACAUUAUGUGUGUGGUCGAGACUGGAGGUUCCAACUGCCUUCUUCAAAUGUUGACACUUUGACUGGGUGGGAGACUGAUCCUUUUACUGGAGGGGGUUUCAACAGGCACUAGUCUGAUGAGGUUUCGUUUUCAGGUAAUGGCCCCAACACCCCCACAAGGAAAGAUUCCCAAUCCGUGGCCUGGUGGAUGCUCUCAAAAUCCAGUGCUAUGGGGUGAUGGGACAGACGGGAACUACCGUCCCAGCGAGCCCUGGAUCUUAGGCCAAGUGCCAUGUGAUCAGCGCUUUCCCCAUCCCUCAGGAAAUAAAAACAGUUCCUCUACAUCUGGGGGCAGACCUCAGCGCCCGCCUUUGCCAAGGACUCGCUUUCCUAAAACCAUAAGAAGGGGAUUCAAUAAACUUAGGUCGACGUUAAAGUCCCCAUGGAAGCCGCGGCCGAGUCCUGUACCAAGUCCUGAAGAAGUUAACCCUGCAGGAAGUCCUGAAGAAAACAUCUAUGAAACUGCUAACAGUGAACCAGUCUAUAUCCAGCCAAUCUCUACGAGGUCCUUAAUGAUGUUGGACUCUGGCUCGACUGACAGUCCAGAAAAUCUAGGCCCACCUACAAGACCUUUGCCUAAACUCCCGAACCAACACCCCAUGAACCCUGAGAUACGUCUUCCUAUUAUUCCACCAUCCAAAUGUCAUAAAGGUUUUGUGGAGUGGGGCGAGGAGUAACAGUGAAGGUGCUAACGCAGAACAUAACUUUUUCUUUAAACACGCCUGGAAGGAGAAGCGUGACAGACCAGACAAUCCCAUCACCCAACCAGGUCUCGGACACUCUUUUACAACCCUAGGAGAGCCAGAUAAAAAUUUUGUGUUAAGCAAGAAGAAAAACUCACUUAGGGUUGGUCAGAUCUACUUGAUCUCCUGACCAAACCCCCAGUGAGUGCUGGUAAAGAAGAGCUCACAUGAGAUAGCUUACAACCUACGCGGCCACUCAACAGACUCUUCCCAUGCCAGCGCCCGGACUUGAACCGAGAACCUGCAGGCUUGGUGGCCGCUGCUCUAACAAUUGAGCUACGCUGGCAAUUAUCUAAAAAGGGGAAAACUUUCACUGAACAUUCUGAGUGGCACGAGAAUUAUUUGCAUGUGUGUGAGCAGCCACUGUUCCAUGGGUGCAUAUUUGGGCGGUAGGGGCUGAUAGAGGGUAGUCUUUGGUAUGCUUGAUGUGGCUGCCACGCCCACUGUGGAAGGUGGCACUCAGUAGGUGACAGCAUCCACUUAAUGGACUGAAGCCCGUCAUGACACAACCGUUCAUCUAGAGGCGCAGCUGUAGAUGGUAAGAACUCCCUCACGCUUUCUGCAGUAAAAGAACUUUGUUCACCA